rnacentral:rRNA from 1 species
UACGUAGGGUGCGAGCGUUAUUCGGAAUUACUGGGCGUAACGCGUGCGCAGGCGGUUUUGUAAGCCAGAUGUGAAAUCCCCGGGCUUAACCUGGGAAUGGCAUUUGGGACUGCAAGGCUCGAGUGCGGCAGAGGAGACUGGAAUUCCUGGUGUAGCAGUGAAAUGCGUAGAUAUCAGGAGGAACACCGAUGGCGAAGGCAGGUCUCUGGGCUGACACUGACGCUCAUGCACGAAAGCGUGGGGAGCAAACAGG